rnacentral:rRNA from 1 species
ACGAGCUGCAAUUCUUGGAAACUCAUCUGGAGGAGCUGGGCGCCGCCCAAGGUGAAGUUCUUCCACUGGUUGGCGUGUCAAGAUCGCUGCUGGACCGCGGAGAGACUUGCGCGCCGUGGCCUGCAACACCACCCACGGUGCCUCCUGUGCGACCAGGAACCAGAGACGAUUGGACACCUGAUGCUUGCGUGCCCAUUCACCAGGCAGACUUGGCACGAGGUCCUUUCUUGGCUACGCCUACCGGCACCGACACCCGAUCACGACGGCUCGCUCAUGGAUUGGUGGCUGCGCGCUAAGGAAUUCACACCGCCAGCGCUUCGCAAG